rnacentral:misc_RNA from 1 species
AAGAGAGCUGGCUGAGCGUGUAAACUAUUUAUAUGGAGGAAGGAAGUGGAAGAAGCUGGGAGGGAGAGGUGGUGCACUCUUCAAGGUUCCUGAACCCCUUAUUCCACCCACUGGGGCUCGAAUCAUGUCCCUUACUGAUGGCCUUUCCAAGAUGUCAAAGUCAGCACCAUCUGAUCAGUCGAGAAUCAAUUUGCUAGAUUCAAAAGAUGUAAUAGCAAAUAAAAU